CCGCCUGUUUAACAAAACAUGUCCGUGUGAGAGAAAUACAAGGUCUGGCCUGCCCACUGAUUGUUUAAAGGGCCGCGGUAAAUUGACCGUGCGAAGGUAGCGUAAUCAUUAGUCUUUUAAUAGGGGACUGGUAUGAAUGGUUGUACAAGAAUUUAACUGUCUUUGUUUUGUAGAUUGAAAUUAACUUUUAAGUUAAAAGGCUUAAAUGUAUCAAGAAGACGAUAAGACCCUAUAAAGCUUUACAUUAUUACUUUGCUAGAAGAAAAUUAGUUAAAUAAAUUCUAUAAGUGUUAAGAUGUUUUGCUGGGGCGGCAAAGAUAUAUUUUAAAAACUGUCUUUAUAUUUAACACGUAUUUGUGUAAUUUUAUUGAUCCUUAAUAGAGAUUAUAAGAUUAAGUUACUUUAGGGAUAACAGCGUAAUCUUUCUUGAGAGUUCAAAUCGAGAGAAAGGUUUGCGACCUCGAUGUUGAAUUAAGGUUCCUCUUUGGUGUAGCAGUUAAAGUAGGAGGUCUGUUCGACCUUUAAAUCCUUACAUGAUUUGAGUUCAGACCGGCGAAAGCCAGGUUGGUUUCUAUCUCUUGAGUAAGAAAAGGCUUUUUUAGUACGAAAGGAUUGAGAAGCGAAAAUAAUUUAUUAAUUA
rnacentral:rRNA from 1 species